rnacentral:tRNA from 1 species
CGGGGUGUAGCUCAGCCUGGCUAGAGCGCUUGCUUUGGGAGCAAGAUGUCGAGUGUUCAAAUCACUCCACCCCGA